GUGAGGGAUGACGGCCUUCGGGUUGUAAACCUCUUUCAGUAGGGACGAAGCGCAAGUGACGGUACCUAUAGAAGAAGGACCGGCCAACUACGUGCCAGCAGCCGCGGUAAUACGUAGGGUCCGAGCGUUGUCCGGAAUUACUGGGCGUAAAGAGCUCGUAGGUGGUUUGUCGCGUUGUUCGUGAAAACUCACAGCUCAACUGUGGGCGUGCGGGCGAUACGGGCAGACUUGAGUACUGCAGGGGAGACUGGAAUUCCUGGUGUAGCGGUGGAAUGCGCAGAUAUCAGGAGGAACACCGGUGGCGAAGGCGGGUCUCUGGGCAGUAACUGACGCUGAGGAGCGAAAGCGUGGGGAGCGAACAGGAUUAGAUACCCUGGUAGUCCACGCCGUAAACGGUGGGUACUAGGUGUGGGUUUCCUUCCUUGGGAUCCGUGCCGUAGCU
rnacentral:rRNA from 1 species